ensembl:lncRNA
AUGAAAUGUAUCAUUAACAACAGUUCUAAAAGAGAAGGAGGAGAAGGAGGAGAAGGUGGAGGAGGAGAGAGGAACCACCAGAGAGCAACAGCUUUUAGCCAGAUGAUGUAUUUCCCAUGUAGUACAGGAGCUGUUAUAUUCUGGCACCCUCUCCUAGUAUUGGCCAGGAAUGCUUUGGUAAAGCUGGGAAGGCAGAUUUCCACAUCUCAUUGCAAGACACAUGAAACAACCCCCCAGGCAGAUUUCCACUGGCAAACAAGCAGGAUGCAGCAUAGAAUGCUCUUCUGGUUCUCCAAGUGCUUGGAGUGUUUGACACAGGCCCAGGGGAGAGAAAUGAAGUCUCUGGAAGCAGAUUCUGCAAAAAUUGCAUGUAUGCAGGGCAGCCAGAAAGCCAGUGCCACCAAGAUCCUUGGAGCAUCCCCUGCAGAGAAGGAUCAGCUGCAGGUGUGUGACUAUGGCAAAAGAAAAAGCCUUGCCCCUGAGCCCAGAGGUCCCUAAUCCUCAGGUGCUGCUGUGUCUCAAUGUAUCUAGAAAUACUACUGACACUAUUUUAACUUUGCAAAGCCCAUCACCAUGCCAGAAUCUGGCGGGAGGUUAACAUCAUGUCCCUCACUUGCCUCUGGGAUCCGUGAGGAGCCCCCAGACACUGGUCCAAUGCAUGUGAUUUGAGAGUGUACAGACUUGAGGUUCAAAGGUUUCCUUUGAACUGCCAGCCAUUACAUUAAAGGAUGACAGGAUAAAACAAGCACACAGCCAGAGACAGGGAUUUUCAUUCCGUCUCAGAUACUGUGGCACAGCACACCAAGGUGAGCUCAUCAGACGUACUCAUCUUGGCAAAAUACUGUUUCCUAGUAAAGCAGAUAUUUUUCUUAAAGUACAUGACCUACUCAGAUUUUCCUUUGAAGAAGGAAAUUUGGGAACUAGGAGUCAGGCUGGCCCAGUGCCUGCACAAAUGGCAGGGCUCCUGCCAUACUCUGCAGGUGGCUCUGGGCUAACGGAGGUUUCGCAAAGCCAAGGCUCUCCUCAGCUUACAUUAAGCCUCCCACAGUAUCUCCCUAUACUUCAGUUGAAAAUCCUGUUCUUGAGAAGAACUUAUUGAUUUGGCAGGGGAUUAGAAGAUGAGGCAGCAUACCUAUGUCCUGACUCACCCACAUGGCAGGAAUCUUGCAUUUCCUGUGAGACUUGCUAUCGAAGUCAAUGCAGUUGACAUUUUAGCUGAAGACUCCUCAAGAGCUUUCAAUGUCUUUUUGACACUCUGAUGUAAUACUGCCCUUCAGACAAGCACAAUUUUCAGCAUCUACAGCUUGUAAAUCACUGGUGUGAGAAUUAUUAGUUAGGAGACCUUCUAGAGAACCAAAUGUCCAGGAAGAUGCCUGCUGUAUUUUUAUUUGCAUGCAACCGUGAACAAUUUUAUCUUCUACAUAACUGAAAUACCCCAGAUGUUUCACUUUGGCAGCAGGGCACAUAUGGAAGAGACAUUUAAUGUCAGUACAGAUUUAAUGCUAUGUUCAGAUUUCAGAUUUGAACUUCUGCUGCCUUAUAUUUCAGUGAUAUUUUCUCUCAGGCAAACUAGAGGCCAUGUCUACCAUCUGGAAAACCCUAAGUGUCUGCCAAGUGUAACAUGGAUGAGAAAAUAAUUGGUUGCCAAGAGAAAUUGGGAAGUAACAUCAGCAAAUCCAGCAAGUUUCUUGAGAGACUUGUUCCCUCGCUGACAAACUCUGUAGCACACUGAACAGCGGCUGGAGUGGCAAUGUGGAAGCUCCAGCACCUAUACUGGUGCACUUGGAGGGGGACAAUGUGGGUUGCAGCCACAAGCUAAUCAUCUUGGCUAGUGAUGUUCAGCCUUUUAUUUUGAUUUUCCUGUACCAGCUAAGCAAAAAGAAAGUAAAUAAGCUGGCAGACAUUUCUUGUAAAGACAGAAAUUACAGGUUUUCCAGGCAUCAGAACAGAGAGCUCUGUUGUAUUUUCUUGCAAGAUUGUUAUUUUCCCAGAUUAAAUAGUGCAUGAGACUUUCAAUGUCGAAGUGCUUGUGAAACAAGUUUGUGCUUUGUGUUUUGUUUCAUAAAAGUUAUGAAGGAGAAGAGUCGUGUUAGUCCUUCCUCUCUCUCUACUUCGGAAAGAAAUUCCAGGGUUGGUUGUUGUAUUUCCGGGGGAGAGGAGUGUUGCAGGGGAGAGAUCAGUGAAAACCGCAGCAAUCUUGGAAAGUCUUUUUGUGUAUCUGGUGUCUGUACAUGGAGCGAACCAGACUUUCCCAAUUAGGACCGUGACAUGGGUGAAAUAAGCAGUUCUUCUUUCUCACAGAUAGCUGUAGCCCCAGUUCAUUAAUCAGCCAUCACUCAGACAGGCUCCAGCAAGGAAUGCUGAUAGCAUCGCGGCCGGAGCGCGGAGGCUGCGGCAGGGAGCGCGACGCUGACAGCACCCUGUGCCGCAGCUCCCACCGCAGGGGCUACCGGCAUCAAACCCUGCCACGGCUCAGCACUUUUCCAUAUCCUAAAGGUGAACUACAGGCGAUCUCAGAUCUGCCUCUGAACUUUUAAACAAAGGGACCUUUAAUGGCUCAACAGGACAGAGCCAGGAGCCCCUCCAACCUAUAUGAAAGGCUGUCAUAAUUAAAACCAAACAGAAACCGUCUGAAUUCCUUAUUAAGGACACUUACUCGAACAGUUUUAACCCCUGAGUAACCUAGAAAGCUUUUCAUGUUUACAGAUGUUGAUAGGAGGGUAUGCACAAAGGCUUUCCUGGUUAGUGCCACAUUCAGAGCUGGUGUAAAUGGAAAGGUGGGAUGCUGUGGCUGUGGCUGACCCCAAAAUGCGGCUUGUUUUAAUGCAUUUCUUUGUUCAUCUUUUCCAGUGCCAUUCUUUGUCACCAAAGUAGAGGGGGAAAAAGAAAAUGGAAAAAAAAUCCAAAUAAGCAACAAAUUGGAAAUAUGUUUCCUUAUUUGCAAAUUAGCUUUCUGGGAUUUUUUCACUCAUCAGAAUUGUACAAAUUCCCAAAAUAUUUAUCUUCAUUUUCUAUUAGGGGGAAAAAAAUUGUAGGAGGAGAUCCUGCCACUUCUCACGUGGUAUUAACAGAUUUGAUACAGUUAAUUCACGUGGUAUUCAUGGAUAAACGUAGAUAAACAUUCAGUCUACAAAAUUACUAAAUUUCCUCAUAAAUAGGAACAAAUUUAUAUCAAAUAUUAUUUUCUCUGUUGCCAAUCCACAAAUACAUUCAAAUACCCUUCUACGAUAAUAGCAUUUCCAGUAUUCUCUUGAAUGUGAAAUUUAGGUGUCAGGAACAGUCACAGUAAAGCACAUUCAGUAAUUUUCUUAGGCAUGAAGGCAGUUAAAGAAAUUACAAACUUCGUUCAAGAAAAACUUGAUCCAUUAAUCAAUUGAGAAUGUGAGGGUGGCAUUAGUUCAAGAGAAUUCAUAUUGUAAGUUUUUUUUCUCUGCAUUUUCAGUAUGAGGGAACAGUGUGAAUUGAAAAUAAAGAUAAUGUGUGUAUUUGUGUGUGUGCGUGUGUGUAUACAUGCCUGCAUAAGCCUCUCUGUGUGUAUAUGCAAAUAUUCCUAAUCUUAUAUCAAGAUUUUUAGUUGCAUAACUUCAAUUGAAGAAAGUUAUAAAAUUAUAGUAAUUGAAGAAAAUUAUAAAAUAAUAAUAACAACAUCAAUAAUAAAGAAGAAAAAGAAG